UACGGGGGGGGCAAGCGUUGUUCGGAAUUACUGGGCGUAAAGGGCGCGUAGGCGGCCUGUUAAGUCGGACGUGAAAUCCCUCGGCUCAACCGGGGAACUGCGUCCGAUACUGGCGGGCUUGAAUUCGGGAGAGGGAUGUGGAAUUCCAGGUGUAGCGGUGAAAUGCGUAGAUAUCUGGAGGAACACCGGUGGCGAAGGCGGCAUCCUGGACCGACAUUGACGCUGAGGCGCGAAAGCCAGGGGAGCAAACGGG
rnacentral:rRNA from 1 species